UACAGAGGGGGCAAGCGUUGUUCGGAAUUACUGGGCGUAAAGGGCGCGUAGGCGGCCUGCUAAGUCGAACGUGAAAUCCCUGGGCUCAACCCAGGAACUGCGUCCGAUACUGGUUGGCUUGAAUCCGGGAGAGGGAUGUGGAAUUCCAGGUGUAGCGGUGAAAUGCGUAGAUAUCUGGAGGAACACCGGUGGCGAAGGCGACAUCCUGGACCGGUAUUGACGCUCAUGCACGAAAGCGUGGGGAGCAAACAGG
rnacentral:rRNA from 1 species